UACGUAGGUCCCGAGCGUUGUCCGGAAUUACUGGGUGUAAAGGGUGCGCAGGCGACCUUGUGCGUCAGAAUGUGAAAUAUCACGGCUUAACCGUGAGGGUGCUUUUGAAACGGCGAGGCUUGAGUACGGGAGAGGAUGAUGGAAUUCCUGGUGUAGCAGUGAAAUGCGUAGAUAGUCAGGAGGAACACCGGGUGGCGAAGGCGGUCAUCUGGCCCGGUACUGACGCUCAGGCACGAAAGUGUGGGUAGCAAACAGG
rnacentral:rRNA from 1 species